UACGUAGGGGGCAAGCGUUGUCCGGAUUUAUUGGGCGUAAAGAGCGUGUAGGCGGCUACGCAGGUCCGCUGUGAAAACUCGAGGCUCAACCUCGAGCUGUCGGUGGAAACCGUGUGGCUAGAGUCCGGAAGAGGAGAGUGGAAUUCCCGGUGUAGCGGUGAAAUGCGCAGAUAUCGGGAAGAACACCCGUGGCUAAGGCGGCUCUCUAGUACGGUACUGACGCUGAGACGCGAAAGCGUGGGGAGCGAACAGG
rnacentral:rRNA from 1 species